rnacentral:rRNA from 1 species
GACGAACGCUGGCGGCGUGCUUAACACAUGCAAGUCGAGCGGAAAGGCCACUUCGGUGGUACUCGAGCGGCGAACGGGUGAGUAACACGUGAGUAAUCUGCCCUUGGCUUUGGGAUAGCCACCGGAAACGGUGAUUAAUACCGGAUACGACCACUUCUCGCAUGGGAUGGUGGUGGAAAGUUUUUCGGCCAGGGAUGUGC